CGAUCAUUAUCGUACACCUGGGAUUAUUUCAUAACGGCGUGUGAUUGUAAACUUCUAUCGUAGUCAGAUUGUACAAUAUUUUUUUAAUCUAUUUAGUAGUAGUAGUUCGUAAUAGUGUGGUGGGGUCAGUUUCUACCGUUACCACGUUUGCCCCGUUAUUCGUGGCUAAUUAAGCCAACCUAGCCUCUUCCAAAAACUCACUCACUAUUUCCUGGAUACUUUGCAGGCGGCGGACAAGGCAAGCCGGCAUGAGCAGUAUAUAGAAAAAGGGUUCCUAAUUCUACCAUAAGAGUUAAGACGAAUUGUUGCUGAAGGCAGAUCUAACAUAGGCGUAUUUAAUACGCCCGGUAAAAAGAGGAAAGUGCUA